UUUUUUUUUAUGUCGGAGCUCAUCAACAAAUUCUUUUAGCAAAUAUUUUCAUACUAGAAAUUAAACCAUUCUUAAAAUUAAUUAGAUAUAAAACAAUACAAAUUACUAACUCAAUCAUGUUACUAUAUUAGCCAUAUAUUAAAACAUAUAAACUCUACUAGAACCUAGCUUAAUUAUAAUCUAGUCUAAAAUUCACGUUUAUACUGUUUGUUUCUUUUCGUCAUGUUUAUACCAUUUGCUCAAAAUAAAUAUUGAUGUCAAAUUGACACGUAAAGUUGCCGUUUUUUCACAUUAAAUUUUAGGAAUUAAUGAUAACUGUUAAGUAUGCUUCCUCUAAUCAGAAAAGUUAAAUCAAAUCUCUUAAGAGAUCUGUCUGUCUAUCUUAAACGGCCCCUCUUUGAAAAUACAGCACACAGGAGAAACCUUUGUAUAAGGACUAUAGAAAGAAGAGGAAUUUCAAAAAUCACAAUAAUUUAGAUGCUAAUAAUUAUAAUUUGCCUAAUUACCAUUUGUAGCUAUUGUUCAAUUGUUAAUGACUUAUAUCACUUGUAUUCAAACGUGCAAUAAAUACAACAUGUGUCAUCUAUAUUCGUCCGCGCAACGAAUAAUCUGUAUCAACUGUAUUCGUUCACGCAACUGUAUUCAUUCGUGCAACGAAUACAAUAUAUUUCAACUAUAACCAAGAGAAAAUACAAGGGUGUAUAUAAAGGAUGCAACUUGUAUGAACUGUAUAUAGGGGCAUAUACAAAUGAUAUAAUUUGUAUCGACUAUAUUUGUUCGUGCAACGAAUACAAUUAAGGCAAAAUACAAAAAAAAAAAUAUAUAUUCUUGUUGAAAUUCAAAUUCUUACCUUCAUUAGCUAAGCAUGUACUCUAACCAACUGAGUUAUGAGAGCUUGUUGGUCUCUUAUUUCAGUUCAAAAUAAUUAAUCUCUUAUUGCUACAAAAUUCAAAUAUACGAAUGGUAAAUUUACUGAAAGUAUAGCUACGAAUGAUAAAUACAGUGUAAAUAUUUGAUGUGUCAGGUAAUUUUCGUAAGAAAGAAGCAUAUCAGUAAUUUAUUUGCUUUUAUUUCCAAUGACAAGACCGAAGUAAUGGUCUUGAUUAAAAAAAAAUAUUAUGAUCUUGGUUCUUGCAUAAAAAUUCAUUUCAUUGUCUAAAUGAGAGUUUGUUUUUGGCGUGGAGUUGUCGCUCAAUUCAACAAUAAUUUAACUGUUGAUAUGUUGCUUUGACAAAUAUAAUGUACUUAAGCUACUGAGGCAUAUAUUUUUCUUUCCAAUUCAAUUACAAACAACUGGAUCCUUGACUAAUCAUUAAUUCUGGAAAAAGAUUUUAGAGAACAAACUUACUGUUAAAUAUAUGUACUUACGAAAAGAUUAGUUUUAAAAAAAUUAAUUGAUUGACAAAUAUAUUGUACUUAAAGCUGUUUUUCAACCAAAUAACAAGAUUGGAAUUUAUUUUAUAUUCUUUUCUUGUAUUUUUUUCGUAUUGCUACCUAGCGUUUGCACUUUAAAUUGGGCUAUUACUAUCACAUGGGAAACUACCAACUACGUUCAUUUUUAAUAGCUUAUUAUAAAAAUUGGCCAAGUCAUAAUAUAUUACUAAUUUUAGCUAAAUAUUACUAAUAUUAGCUAAUUAACUAUUUGUAGCCAAAAAGGAUCAAAUUUUUGCUUUCUUUUGAGUGAGUGUUAUUAGAAUAGAUUGGGUACAUCUUAAGGAACUUGAAUCUCAGUUUUGGGAUGAUUUGGUGAAGCUUUGAGGUGGAUAGAAUUGAAAAUUCGAAGUAAAAGAUGAACAUGAAAAAAAAUAGUAUGUGUAUCAUUUGUGUAUCCCAUAUGUAUCAUUGUAUCAAACGUGUAUCACAUGCAUACCUGUGUGUGAGAUACAUGUUUGAUACAUGUGUCGCACAAGAAAUUUUUGAACUCGAUUUUAACUACGAAUUUUGAUACCAAAUCAAUCCAAAUCACCUCCAAUCCUCCUCAAAUUUUGUAUAUUAACUCAUCUAUAUGUUUUCAAUGAAUUUCAAUCAUACCCAUUGAAAAUGUUCUUUUUUUUUCUUAGAUUUUUGGAAUCUUGUAUAUUUUUUUUGUUUGUAUUUUAUCAUCUUAUUUGCUAUCUCAUCCAUGAAAUUUCCUUUCCGUCUUGUAUCUAAUGUUGUUGAUCAUGCUUAAAAAUAUGGAAUGAAAUCUUUGCGUGUAAUUCUUGGAGAAAAAUAACCUUAUUUAUUUGGAUUUUUAAUUUUUAUAUGUACUUGGCUAAUUUUAGUAAAUUUAUAAUUAAUGGUAAAGGUUGGUAAAUUGAGAAUUAUUUGGGACAUUUACGUAAGAUUCCCUUUAACAUAUGCAACUUUUAGCUUAUUUUAUGUGUUUAGUAAACAUCAAACUUACUUAUAAGUCAAAAUAAAGUAAAGUCACAAGUUGAUCAACCCCAUUUAUGACUGAUAGAGAAAAAGGAAAUUCAAUUUUUUCGCAACAAAAAACGCGAUUUUUUUGGUUGUAUUUUAUACUGCUACGGGCAACUACUCCAUGCCAUUUUAUAUUACACCAUGUGAAUAGGCACUUUUUGAAUCAAUUUGGAAUUAAAAAUCUUGCGAUAAUCAACUCUUUCUUAGUGUAAUACGCUUUAAGAGCAUUUUAGUGAUUUAAUUGAAGAAAGCGUAGGAUCAGCUUCUACAUUUCAAGUUCACUAGUUUUAGGAAUUUUAGUUCCAAUAAAUAAAUUAUUUUUAAAUUUUCAUAAGGUCAAAUCUUAAUUGAUCUUAGAGUAUUAAAUAUUAGGACUUCCUACAUAGUUCAAAUAAAAAAAAUUAUAAUUAAAAUUUUAGUUAAUUGCAAAAUCUUAAAAUUUUAAGAAAAAUAAUUUAAUACAGUUUUGUCCAAUAUAAGAACUAUUAAGAGCAGCUAAAAACGAAAAAAAAGGUCCAAUAAGAGCACGAAAAAAUAGUAGAGAAAUAUAACUUGACUAAAGGUUAAAGCAUACAGUCUAAUACAAAAAGGAUUCUAUUCAACCAAGCUUUACAAUCCAAAACAUCAAAAUAAGAUGUAUUGGUUAAACACGUGCAUGCAAAAUUCAACUGCUAAUACAAAUACAUGAAUGCAAAAUUCAACUGCUAAUAAAAAAAUUGCUCAAAGAAAGAGAACCCGAAACCCUUAAUUUUGUAGUUGUUGCUCGAAUAAGGCAAAAUUAUGAUGAUGAAAAGGUGAAAUUGUAACUUCUUUUAUAGAAUUACAUGCGUAUAUAAAAUUGGGUGAAACUUUUAUUAGAAAAAAGACUCUAAUAAGUUCUCAAAGAGUUCGUCCUCAUCUAAUAUAGUUAUAAAAAAUUCAAUGUCAAAAAUUUAUAUCAAAACAUUCCUAGUGUGUGCAUGAAUUAGUCAAAACUUAACAACUUUCCAAGUUUAAAAUUUUAAUACUCCUAAAUUUAAAUAUAGUUGAAAGUAUCAAAAGUUUCCAAGUAUGUGAAUUAGUUAAAAUUUUAUUAACUAAAGGAAAACUGAAACCUUUCUAUUGUGUGUAAAUUGGACAAAUUUUUAUUAUCUAAAAAAGAUCUCCUAAAUUAGAAAGAAAAUUUUGAUAAUACUCCUAAAUAUGGAGUUGGACGAAAACUUCCUAUUGUAUAGAGAACGAAAAUAUUUCCUAGUAUGUGUGUCAAUAUUAUUAUAAGUAUUAAAAGAGUAAUUAAAUAAUUGUUCCUAAAUAGUAGGAAAUUAAUUAAAUGACUAUUUUUAAAUAUUAAAUAAAUAAUCAAAUGACUAUUUUGUCUAAUGUGAACUCUAUUUUAAAAAGGGUAAAAAAAAGGCGAACGACAUUUCGCUAAGGGCCUUCGUGCUUUUAAUAUAGUAUUAACUACCGUCAAUAAGUUAAGUCAAACAGACUCUAUAUAGCCACUAAUAGAUGAGUGCACGCACGACGGGUGAAAUUAAAAAAUAGCCAGAUUUAGAAGUGGUAAUUGAAAAAUAGCCACACUUUCAAAAGUAAACGAAAUUCAGCUACUUUUCAUGUAAAGAUAAAUCUGAACAAAAACACUGUUCAAAAUCCGAAAAAUAUUCUAGCAUGGAGUUCGAAUUUUUUACAAGUGAACUUCCAGCAUAACAUGCUGGAAUUUCAUAAUAUGCUGGAGUUCCAACAUAAUAUGCUCGAAGUUCAUAUACAGGUGCUCCAAUCUCCAAUAUAUUAUGUUGGAAUUUUCCAUGUACUGGAAUUCCAGUAUAAUAUGCUGGAAGUCAAUACACAGGUGCUCCAAUCUCCAGUAUAUUAUGCUGGAAAAAAUAGUGGCUAUUUUUCAAUUACCAGUCCGAAAACUGGCUAGCUCCUGCUAUUUUAACGCAAGAUGGUAAAUGUGCAAGAUAAAUUGGAGCAAAGAGUAUUAAAAAGAGAAAACAAAGACAGUCAAAACUGAAUCAUAUUCAUUCCUACAAAUCAAUAAUUCUCCGGAAUUAGCAUUGAUAAGCUGUAUUUGAGAAAAUCGGGUGCUUGAUAAUAGAAUUCAAUAAACCAUCUUAAAUGUAUAAGAAUGAAAAAUUACAAAAAUAAUACUCUGGUGCGUAAUAUACAAACAAUAAAAAUGAGCAAAGACCAUGCUCAUCCGAGUCGCGAAAACAGCCUCUUGCAGAAAUGCAGGAUAAGGCUGUGUUAGACCCUUGUGGUCCGUCCCUUUUCCGGACCCCUCGUAUAGAGCUUAGUACACCGGGCUGUCUUUUUUUAAAAAAAAAAAUGACAGUGCUCAUCCGACUCUAUCAAAAAGACCAGCAUAAUACCUGAUUCAUCUCGUCAACCAGUAAAUCAAAAUGAG
rnacentral:lncRNA from 1 species